CAAUAGCGUAUAUUAAAGUUGUUGCAGUUAAAAAGCUCGUAGUUGGAUUUCUGGUGGGAGCGAUCGGUCUGGCGCUUAGCGCGAGUACUUGCAUCGUCUCCGGCCAUCCUUGGGGAGAGUCUGUCUGGCAUUAGGUUGUCGGGCAGAGGAUCCUCAUCGUUUACUGUGAAAAAAUUAGAGUGUUCAAAGCAGGCUUAUGCCGUUGAAUAUAUUAGCAUGUAAUAAUAAGAUAGGACUUUGGUACUAUUUUGUUGGUUUGCGCACCAAAGUAAUGAUUAAUAGGGACAGUUGGGGGUAUUCGUAUUCCGUUGUCAGAGGUGAAAUUCUUGGAUUUACGGAAGACGAACUACUGCGAAAGCAUUUACCAAGGAUGUUUUCAUUAA
rnacentral:rRNA from 1 species